GUUGAGGACUAGGGCCUCGUUAUGUGAGUGGUGCUCUGCCCUGAGCCACCAGGAUCUGUCCCUGGUGAAGCUUGACAUCAGAUGUAGAAUACGAACGUCACAUUGAACUGAAAAGUUCCUUUAAGUUAAACAUUGUUAACUUUUAAGUUAAUUCAACACAAAGAAGUAAGUUGUCAUCACAAAACCAAAAGAAUUAAGUGAGAUUAAUGUAGAUAAGUCCAUAACAUGAACUACAGCUCAAACACACUUUUCAGAGUGUAGAGACAGUGAUAGGUGA